CAUAUACAUGCAAGUUGAACGAGAUUAGUUUUAGCAAUAGAACUUUUUUAGUGGCGCACGUGUGCCUAACGCCUAUGCCACCUACCUUAAACAGGGGAAUAGCCUCUCCAAAGAGAGAUUAAUACCGCAUAAUAUAUAUUUGGAGCAUUCUAGAUAUAUUAAACCUACGGGGGUUUAAGAUGGGCAUGCGUGACAUUAGCUAGUUGGUGAGGUAAUGGCUCACCAAGGCAACGAUGUCUAGGGGGUCUGAGAGGAUGUCCCCCCACACUGGUACUGAGACACGGACCAGACUCCUACGGGAGGCAGCAGUAGGGAAUAUUGGUCAAUGGAGGCAACUCUGAACCAGCCAUGCCGCGUGCAGGACUAAGGCCCUAUGGGUCGUAAACUGCUUUUGAACGGGAAGAAAUGUAUCUACGUGUAGAUAUUUGACGGUACCGUUAGAAUAAGGAUCGGCUAACUUCCUGCCAGCAGCCGCGGUAAUACGAAGGAUCCAAGCGUUGUCCGGAUUUACUGGGUUUAAAGGGUGCGUAGGCGGACUUAUAAGUCAGUGGUGAAAGCCUUCAGCUUAACUGAAGAACUGCCAUUGAAACUGUAAGUCUCGAGUUCGGUUGAGGUCAUUGGAAUGUAACAUGUAGCGGUGAAAUGCAUAGAUAUGUUACAGAACACCAAUUGCGAAGGCAGAUGACUAAACCGAAACUGACGCUGAGGCACGAAAGCGUGGGGAUCAAACAGGAUUAGAUACCCUGGUAGUCCACGCCCUAAACGUUGAAUACUCGACCUUAGCGGUAUACAGUUAGGGUCCAAGCGAAAGCGUUAAGUAUUCCACCUGGGAAGUACGUUCGCAAGAAUGAAACUCAAAGGAAUUGACGGGGGCCCGCACAAGCGGAGGAGCAUGUGGUU
rnacentral:rRNA from 1 species